rnacentral:lncRNA from 1 species
GCGGGCGCCUGUAGUCCCAGCUACUUGGGAGGCUGAGGCAGGAGAAUGGCGUGAACCCGGGAGGUGGAGCUUGCAGUGAGCCGAGAUCCCGCCACUGCACUCCAGCCUGGGCGACAGAGCGAGACUCCGUCUCAAAAAAAAAAAAAAAAAAAAAAAAAAAAUGUUUUCCAUGACUUCUAUUUUUUUUUUAGAAUUCUGUGAAUUUUAAUAGAGAUUUGUGCUAUGACACCACAAUUAGGAUGCAGAACAAAUAGUUCCUUAAUGUUUCAAAGGAAAAAUAUUAUAAUUGCCUUUUAAGAUAAUGUAUGUAUUCUUUUCAUGUGGAAAUAUUUGAAUUAUCUUAGAAAGUUCUAGUUUAUUUGUCAGCACUUAGAUUUUUAAAAUGCUUUUUGAGUCUAAUGACUAAGUACGUAAGGUUUUAUGAUCAUGCUACUUAGUAUGUUUCGUAGACAAUUUUUCACCUUUUAACAUUUCUGAAAUUGGGAUGUGUCUUAUCUUUGUUCGCAUUUCAUGAUUCAAAGAAGUACAGUAGUGGGGAAAACCAAGCAUGAUGCUUGUGGCAAUGUCAUGUUGCUUCCUGAGUAAGAUGUUCAUGGGCUUCUGGGUCUUCGUGUCUGGCAUCAUUGACUCCGAGGCUCUUUGCUAGACCUGGCAACUCAGAGAUGUGGAAAGCGUGGACCACCUUGCUCAAGGGUCUCAUGAAUGAGUGGGGAAAUAGACAGAGGAUCAGUGAUUCAGUGACUCUGAUACAGCGUGAUGAGGGCUGUCAGAGCAAUGACAAGACUUAAUAAGGUUCAGAGAACCUAGGACACCUGCAUGAUUUGAAGAGGAGGUGAUCUUUGAGCUGCAUUGUAAAGGGUGAGUAGGAUAGCUCAUCUAAAGCUGAGAAGGUGCAGGAUGGGAGGGAGGAGGAGAAGACGUCCCAGAGCUAAUCCUGAGAGAGGCUGCUGGUGAAUGGAAAUGAAAUGAAAGUGACAUGUGGGGAAUUUAGUUGUGCAAGGCAGAUCACUGAAGUCUGUUUCUUCGAUGUUCAGGAUUGUGAUCAUAAUCUUUUGAGCUUCUGGAAGAUAUUAAUGCUGGUGAUUCUCAAGGUAGGAUUUGAAUUUUAGAAAGGUGACCCUUUAAGCAGUAGGAAUGGAAUGGAUUGGGGGUUGAGGGGAACAAAUUUGGAGGCAGGAGAAUGGUUAAUAGGUUGGAGCAUUGAAGCUGGAGACAUGAUGGGCCUUGAAUUAAGGCAGUGGUAGUGAAGAUGGAAAGGAGGGACAGGUGCUUAUGGUGCUUGGGAGGUUGAACUGACAGGUGGUCAUUUGCUGGAUGUGAGGUCGGGGAGAGGCCAGAGUUAAGGACGACUCCCAGACUCCUGCCUAGGGUGGACAUUGGUGCCAUUCAGCCAUCAAGACCGCAGGUGAGAAGGUGCAGGGUUGGGAGGAAAAUGAGUUUAGUUUUGGCAUUGCGGAGCUUGCGGUGCCCGAGAUUUGUAUGAACAGGAACAUGGGUUCAAAAUGUGAGAGAGGAUUGCUCUGGGGUGUGAUUUGGGAGCCAUCGGGGAGUCAGUGAGAUUGCUCAGAAAGAAUGUGGGAUAAGAUAAGAGGGCCAAGGACAGAGUCCUGGGUCACAUCCACUCACCCGGUGUGAGCAGGGAGAGAUGCAGUCUAUGGAAGCUAAAGAGGUUUUAAGAGGGAGUGAGUGGGCCGGGCGUGGUGGCUCAUGCCUGUAAACCCAGCACUUUGGGAGGCCGAGGCGGGUGGAUCACCUGAGGUCAGGAGUUUGAGACCAGCCUGGCCAAUAUGGUGAAACCCCAUCUCUACUAAAAAUACAAAAAUUAGCUGGGCGUGGUAGCGAGCGCCUGUCAUCCCAGCUACUCGGGAGGCUGAGGCAGGAGAAUUGCUUGAACCCGGGAGGUGGAGGUUGCAGUGAGCCAAGAUUGUGCCAUUGCACUGCAGCCUGGGUGACAAGAGUGAAACUCCGUCUCAAAAACAAACAAACAAACAAACAAACAAACGGAGUGAGUGACAGUGUCAAAUGCCAAGAAAGGUAGAGAGGAUAGGGGCUGACAGUGUCUGUUUAACUUGUAACUGGGAAGUCAUUAGUUUUUUUUGAGAGGAAUUUCAGUGGACUGAGGUGGCGGGGUAGGCAGCAGCCAGGGUAUAAUGAUUUGGAGUAUGAAUUCAAGGUAGAAAUUACAGUAAAAAUUGUAGCCUGCCCUUGCAAGAAACUAGGCUAUAAAAGAAGAGAGUGUAAGAAGGUCUUCAGAGGCUGCUGCUUUGACUGUCGGGUUAAUGCUUUAUAAAGUCCUCUUUAUUAAUGUGUUUUUCUACUUGCAGAGUAGAACAUUCUCAGACUCUGCGAUUCUUUAAUUUUCCUGAAGUGGCACUCUUUGCUUUUUGUUCAUGAUUUAACCACUAUAAAAAUGCCCAGCUACAGCUUGCUGCAAGAACAUAAGUUUGGCUUCUUAUCAUGGAAUUCUUUUUGAGGCCAUUACCUUUGAAGUUGUUUGAUACGUUAACAAAAAAAAUCCUCAACAAAACAAAAAGUUGGGAAGUACAAAUACUAAAGAGAUUUAGCUUGUUUAUAGGAAAGUAAAAGAUAAUGAGACUAUGUAACUUUAUAAGCUCAGGUUAUGCUUAAUUGCAAGCAAUUAAAAACUUUCCCCUUUUUAUUGCCUUUGAAAUAUGGGAUAAAAGGAAAAAGUGAGAAUGCUUGCAGGUUGUGUAUCCUGGGACUGCUUUGAAUUGAAGUCGGUGGGUGUUAGAACAAAUAAAUCCCAAAGAACUUGUGAUUUAGUUUUAUAGGCACACAUUCAUAAAUUGGAUUUUUCAGUAAUUCCAGAAAAGCACACACAGGAGAAGCAUUUGUUAUGUAUUCAUUUAUUCCUCAGUGUUUUAGUGAGCACCCAUAUGCUCAAGCCUCUGCUAGAUCUCGGGGUGAGGGAGAUAAAAGGAUUUAAAUAAUGCCCCUCAUACUUUGCAGAAGGGGAGAUGUGCUAAGAGAGGUGUGGAGGAUGUUCAGAGAAGAGAGGGCCUUCUGAUGAGUGAUCCAGGGAGGCUUCUCGGAAGAGGUGGCAUUUGAGCUGUUUGCUGAGAGACAGACAACUGUUACAACUGUUCAUUCUCUUUGACUAGUUUGUUUCAUGUUAACACCCUUGACUUCUCUGUGUCUUGACCCUGUUUACUUACUUGAUUUUCUGAUGCUCUGUUAUCCGAGAGCAACUCCUGUCCUCCACUCUGUCAUGCUUUCUAUGAUUCCUGUGUAUCCUAGGUCCUCUGUUCUUUUUCUUCACUUCUCUCUCAGAGAUACCAUUUUCUGAUUCAGCUCUGUAUAUUUGCCCACCCAGUUGGCCCCAAACCCAGAGCUUGAGAUUCGGUUCUCUCUCAACCUCCACCCUGCAUUUCCAACUUGAGGUCUCACUAGCAGCUAACAGUAGCUUGUCUAAAUCUGAGCUCUCCCUAACAGCACACAGUCCCCUCCCUCCCUUCCUCCCUUGCCCACCCACUGAGUGCUAGGUGCUAGUUGAUCAUUCUUCUGAUUCCCGUGGCUCAGAGUCUCAGAGUAGUUUUUGUUAUGUCUCCCUACCAGCCGUGUUUAAUCCUUUUAUUUCUGUUUUUUCCAAUACGUUUAAAAAUUUUAGUUCUCCUUAUGCCACCUUAGCCUGCCUGUUAAAUGCAUUCUUGGAUCCCUGCAGUGGUCUUCUAAAUAUUGAUCAUCUUUCUUUUCAUGAUUGACAUCACCUGUGCCCACUGUCUACCACACUUGCAAUGUUGCUGGGAUACCAUGUUCUAUGGGUUGAAAAAUGGAGUUGUGAGGGAGAUAAAACAGACCUGAAAUGAUAAAGGAGCCCAUGUCAACUUCAAGGCAAUAAGCCCCAUGGGAGAGUCAGCAGUGCAGAGGUCUGAGGCAAUUGGAGGAUGCCAAGCCCAUGGCCUGUGGAAGGUGGGAACGUAGGCAUUUGGAGAAGGCUUUGUCAGGGAUUAUAAAGAGGUAGAUGACAGGCCCGUGGCAAAUGUGAGAGAGGUGGGAAGCCACAGGGUGUGGUGAGAGAGCCAUGAGUUGAAGAGUUCAGCUGGGACUAGACUGUGACAUGGCUAGCAUGUCAGCGUGAGGGAGCUGGGCUUUAUUCUGUGGAAGUGAAGAUACAGGGGAGAGUGGACAAUUGGGGAGGAUGGGAUGUAUGGAAAAUACUGUUCUAAAGAAAAUCUGGAGAUGCUGUGAAGGGAAGGGAGGUCAAUAUGGAGACUUUGAAGGAGUCUAAGCUGUGACAUUUUCUUUAAUUCAUUCAAAACAUGGGGGAGCUGCCAGAUUAAGUUUCUAAAUCAUGACUUUGAUCAUACUGCACUUCUGCUGAAAUGCCGUUGGUGAUUCCUCCUGGCAUGAGAAGUGGUUCUUUCACUGGCAUUAGGGGGGCUUCAUCAUCACAUGUCAGCCUGCCCUUCCAGCAUUGUCUCCAACUCCUCACCUUCAGGAACCAACCAAUGACUUUCACACAAAUUAAAUUUGCUCACAGUGAUCUCUCUUUCCAUUUUCUCCACUGCUUGGGACAUUCUCCUGGUUGAAAUUUCUCCCAGCCUUCAGUGUACUCAUAGGCUCUUCAUGGCUCUCUCAGCCUGAGUGCUCUCAGUCCCCUUUGAAACUCCUCUAACGCUUACUGCCUGUAUUAUUCAUUUUGAUAAUCAACAACUGACAUAAUUUCUUCUGUAGCUGCUUAAGCUGUUAGUACCCAUAUUGUUGUUUGUAUGUUUUUAUAUUUUGCUUCUCCAACAGUCUAUAACUUCCUUAAGGGUUGGGAUUGUGUUUGACACUUUUGUAGCUUGCUAUAGCCAUCAUAUUUUCAUCCAAUAUGAAAAUACUAGCUCCAGUGACUGUAUUUUGAACAUCAUAGUAUUUGCUGACCUUCGGUUCUGUUUUAACCUGUCCAAACAAUCAGGAAGAUUAGGGAAGAUUCUGAGGGCCCCAGGGGGAUAACGGAUUUGAGGAUCCCAACUUUCCCCAGGGUGGAGGGCAUUGAAUGGGUAAAUUCAGGAAGGACAUUUUUUUCCCCUGGUUUUCUUAUCCCCUUUUAUAGGUGAGUUUUCUCUAAUCACAAAGGAAGUGAUGAAUAUCGUCUUGCCUCAGGUUCCACAGUGGAUUCCUAGUUCUACUUACAAUGGGGUCCUUUUCCUGAAGGGAAUAGCCUAGUUUGAUCCUAGUCUCUUGAGAUAAUUGUCCCUGAAAACCCAGGAUAUGAUGUCAACUCAGUUAAACUUUUUUGAUCCUAACUGUCCAGAAAUAAGUUAAAAAUGGAUGUUUAUACUUUGCUGUUAAGUAGGUCAAAAAACUGCAGAGCAAUUUAGCCUUAUAUGGAUCAGAGAAAUAAUUGCAAGCACAUAGGUUAACAAGAAAUUAAAGGCAGGAAAUCUUUGGCUAGGAGUGUAAUGUACUUUCUUUUUAGAAAAGACAGUGCAUCCUGAGGAUUCUGCAUUAGUUUUCUUUCCACUUCCAGGGUUGAAAGGCUGAUGGGCAUAGAGCUAGUGGCUUUAUGGCAUAUGGGCUGGCUCCAAGCCUUUCCUGGGGGAGCCUGGUGCACCGGUUUCUCCAGUAACGUGAAACCUUAUUAAUUUGUAAGGGGUGAUAAUCAAAACUGUAACUCAGCUGAAACUUGCCUAUGUGUUAUGCAAAGAAAGGGCCAGAAAUUAAUGAUAUGAGCCAGAGAGCUGAGAGAAUGUUCAAAAGAGCAAACAUUUUAAGCUCUCUCAGCUCCUAUAGAAACAUUUAUUUAUGUGGAAACAGCUGACCUGCUAAUUAGAAAACAUCCUUGCCUAUUCAUUAAACCAAUUAUCCUGAGGAAUUCUGCUAAGCAACACUUAGUCCAGUUCUAAUUAUUGUGUGUCCUUGAAAGCAAUAAACUGUACUUUUAGAAUAAAAUGUUAUAAUGUAGGCAUAUACAUGGUUUACUCAGACAUUUCCCAUAAUUGGAGUGAGAUAGUAAUGAGGGGUUAUGCUUGUUUCUUAUAAAAAGAAUUUAACCACCUUCUCUUCAUAGGGAGAUUAGUGAAUUAUUAGAUAAUUUUUUUUUUAAGAGUUUCGCUCUUGUUGCCCAGGCUGGAGUGCAGUGGCGUAGUUUCAGCUCACUGCAACCUCCGCCUCCCGGGUUCAAGCGAUUCUCCUUUCUCAGCCUCCCGAGUAGCUGGGAUUAUAGGCACCCGCCACCACGCCCAGCUAAUUUUUGUAUUUUUAGUAGAGAUGGGGUUUCACCAUGUUGGCCAGAUUGGUCUCGAACUCCUGACCUCAGGUGAUCCGCCCGCCUUGGCCUCCCAAAGUGCUGGGAUUACAGGCAUGAGCCACUGUGCCCAGCCUAGAUAAUGUUAUGUAUAGACCUGAGAAAUCCUUGGAAAUCAUUAUUGUUAUAAAUGAGAGGUUUUUUUUAAGGUUAUCUUUUUGGAUUACCUUGCAUCUUAACUAAAAAAAGUCUUUUUAGGGAAUAAACAUCAUUAUGACUUAAGACAUUGAUGAAGUUUUUUUUCAUAAUCUCCAACAUCAUGUUUAAAUUUAAAUAAAAAUGAAGCGAAUCAGUUUUCUUGAAGCCACUUUACUCUGUAUCUCCCAUUUUAUCCUGCAUAGCUUUUACUAACAAAAACACUGGUUAAGAAAUGUAGUAAAAGACCACACAAGGUCUCCUCAGUGUUCUGCAGAUAACAGCAACUGUGUCAACAAGCGAGCCGGCCUAAAAUGACAAGCCGAUAUUGUCAAGGAGAACUUGGGCCAGCUCUAGGCUGGUGUUUGGAUGGGGGCAUAGCUUUCACGCUUAGGAGCAUGUGCUUCAGAGGCCACUGCCUGGCUUUGAAAGCUCCAUUCAACCCUAUGAUCUGGGCAUUCUCCCACUGGGUAAGCCUGAACAAGUUACUUUGAGCUGUGCGUGUCAGUUUCCUUCUCUGUAAAUGGAGGAAACAAUGGCCUCCACCACAAGGGAUUAUUGUGAGGGUUAAAUGAGUUCCUCCAUGCAAAGGUGCUCUUUCAUAGUAAGGGUUUCAUUUACAGGUCCAUUUGCUCACUCAUUCAUUCAGCCCCUAUCUGUUGUGCCCUUACUAUGUGCCAGGCCCUGCUAUGGAGGCUGGUAUUGAGGGGUCAGCCAUCAGAGGAGAUCUCUGUCCUAUUGGAGCAUAUAAUUCAGUGGAAAGAGAUCAUAAAUAAGUAAAUGAAUCACCAAGUCCAGAUAGUAAUAAAUGUUGCAAAGACAAUAUAUAAGGGAAUACAGUGAUUGGGUUAUGAGGAGAGAGGUCAACAUUAGCUAGGGUGGGCAGGAGUGGUCUCUGAGAAGGUGACAUUUGAGCUGAGACCUGAAUGACAAGAGACCAAUGUCAGCUCUCUUUAAGAAAGUUUUCCUUUGUUUUAGUGGCUCUCUCCAUACUCUUAUUUUAAACUCACUUAACAUCAAUAUAAAAGUGUCCUUUGCAGCAGGACACUUUUAGGAGGUCUUGAGCCCCUCUCCCACCAGCACUCAUCUGUGUACAAACAAGUUGUUGCUAGUGGUGUUGGAGCUCGUUUUUCCCAAGCUUCACCUUGGCAUUACCCAGAUCUGUUCAACCCUGGGCAUCUCUUCCUCCCAGCUGGAUGCUCACCCAACUUGUUCUGCCUCAGUUUCUGGAGGAGCCUGACUCUAUUUUUGCCCCCCUUGAAAGAAAGUACAGGACUGGGUUGAGGCAGCUGCUCACACUCACCAGAGGCCUCCAUAUCUUGUAGGCCACACUGGCUGCCAUCAAGAGCUGGCAGUCCUGAGAAAGCAGAAAGCAGAUGGUGAGGUAGAAGGAGCGAGUGAUAUGGAAGGGCACAAAACAGAGGGUGAAGAGGCCACACACCAGUAGGAUGGUCCGGAUGGACCUGGCUCGGGCUGUGUUGCCUGUCCUCAUGAGGUUCUCCUCUGGCUUGAUCAGGCUCCUGACCAUCAGUGAAUAGCACACCAAAAUGACCAAGGAGGGAAAGAAAGCCAGACAAUGUCAGAACUAUGCCGUAGGCAAAAAGCCGAUCAAAAUUCUCUUGGCUGGUCAUGUCAUACCAGAUCAUCUGGCCAUUGAUGUAGUCCGUGUGGGAGAAGGCCAGUGUGGGCAGCAGCUGGAGGACCACCAGGGCCCAGGUGGUGCUGGUGCCCAGCCAGGCAUGCCUGCGGGUCCGGUAGGGCAGCGAACACAGUGGGUGGCACACACCUAGGAACUGGUGCACAGAGAUGCAGGUCAGCAGCAGGAUGCUGCCGUAAAGGUUGAUAUAGAACAGGAAGUGCACCAGCUUGCAGAGCAGCUCCCCGAAGGGCCACCUGUCAUCUAGUGAGUAGGUGAUGAUGAGGAAGGGCAAUAGCACAUAAAGCAGGUCGGCCACCAUCAGGUUCACCAGAUAGGUGGUGGCACAGCUCCAGCGCUUGGUUUGGCCCCAGGAGUGCCACAAGACAGUGCCAUUUAGUGGCAGCCCUAGGAUAAAGAUGAUACUGUAGGCCAGGGAGAGGUAGACUUGCUUGUACUUCUCUGAGAACUGGCAGAGACCUUGUUCCUGUGAUGUAUUCAUGUCCACCUUCUCCAUGUCCCGGGAGGCUCCCUCCAGGAGCAGAGCUCCACGACGGCUCCCGCUUCUGCUUCCCCUGGAAGGAAGCAAAAUGGACAGCAUAACAUCAUGACCUCAGCAUGGCAUCAGCCUCUGCCCCAACCCGGCAUUCAACUUUGUCCCCCAAAGUCUAGUCAGAGGCCUUGUUUAAAAGAGACCAACCCCAGGAAAAUAGAGUAUUCAACAAGGGCCAAAUAAUCUUCCAAAGCUGGGCGUCUAGACUUACCAGGUCCAAAGGGUUGGCCUUACAUGGACUUGUAUGCUGUCUACUCUAGGCUGGGUUGUGAUAGAAAUGGUGGUGGGAUGACACUGUCAUUUAAACAGGGUACUCAGAACCUCCAGCUCUGUGUCUCCUCCUGCUAGAAUCCAUUGCAUAGAGUCAGAAAAUCUCCAAGGGGAGGUAUUCUAGCCAGAAAAGCAGGUAUAUUCCCAGGGGCCGAAACUGCCCACAAUUUGGUCCUAACCACAUAGGCCAUAGUAGAGUAGCAAGUGACCCUUGGGGAUUAGAGAGGAUUAGGGAAAGCCCAGGUUUUGCCUACAGGCUCUGCUGGAGGAUUUUGAUUUGUAUCUCUUUCAGGAUUUCUUAACUGAGUAUUUGAAUACUGGGGCUGAUUUGCUUAUUAACCAUCUUAGCAUCUGAGCAUCCAAGAAAACAAAUCUGAGCCAUGAAGCCAGGUGCAGCUUCUUCCUUAUUCCUUCCUUGCUGACAAAGUAGAUGCAAUAGGUGGGCCCAAGUAGCUAAGGAAGCCGUGUGCAGAGCCUGAAGGGGUGCCAGUGUGUGGGCCAGCCAAUCAGCAUGGAGCCCACGGGAACUGAAAGAUGUUUAAUUCUGGGGCUUCAUACUAGAAACUUAAUAUUUAGAAAGACAGGUUAAAACAAGGGAAGAGAGAAAAGCAUAAGUUAGGUAAUUUUGGGGAUAAGUUGAGUGUUGCCUGCAAACUAUGGUAUAGACAGAACCAAAGAAACAGAGACUUAAUUAACUCUGUCAAUCAACAUUUAUUGAGCAUUUGUUGAGUCAGGCACUGGGAACAUGAAGAUGAAUAAGACACAGCUCUUGCUUUCCAGGAACUCACAGUCUGGUGGGGGAAGACAUAAAUGGAUACAGCUGAUUGUAAAAUGAUGUGAAAAAUGGUCAACAAAGUGCUGUGAAAAUCAGCAGGAUACAGCCAAUUCUCCCCUGAGGGAAUUGAGGGCAGGCUUCUUAGAAUAGGCAGCAUUUGAACUGCUUGGGAGAAGAAACAUGAGCUUGCUAGCAGAGACGGGUGAGAGGCAUUGGGUAGGGGGACUGCACACCCAAGGGAAUGGAAGCCGAAAGGGCACAGUGUGUCCAGGGAGGGCAGGAGAGUCAGCCGCUGUAAGGAGGAUGUCUUAGCAGGACAGUGAUGGAAUAUGGCUACUGUGAUGGUUAGUUUCAGGUAUCAACUUGACCGGGUUAAGGGAUACCCAGGUAGCUGGUAAAGUGUUAUUUCUGGGUAUGCCUUUGAAGGUGUUUCUGACAGAGAUUAGCCUGUGAGUCAGUGGACCGAGUAAGGAAGAGCCACCCUCACCCAGUGUGAGCGGGCACCAUCCAAUCAGGUUGAGGGCCUGGAUAGAAAAAAAAGGCAGAGGAAAAGCAUAUUCACUGUUUCUGCUGGAGCUGGGACACUCUUCUCCUGCCCUUGGACAUCAGAACUCCAGGUUCACUGGCAUUUGGACUCUGGGACCUGCACCAUCUGCCCUCUGGGUUCUCAGGCCUUCAGCCUCAGACAGUUACACCAUUGGAUCCCCUGAUUCUGAGGCCUUUUGACUCAGAAUGUGCCACACCGCCGGCAUCCCUGCUUCCCCCGCUGGCAGAUGGCAUAUCGUCGGACUUCUCGGCCCCAUAACUGCUCAAGCCAACUCCCAUAGCAAAUCCCCUCUCCUGUAUCUGUAUAGGAAGUAUAGAUGGCAAUAUGGUCCUGGGCCUGGAACAGAGAGAGUGACUGGUCAGACCAGUGUGGGGCUGUUGAAGUGCACGCAGGUGACAAAUGACCAGCAUCCCAAGCAAGCCCAUGCAGGGUGGAUGCAGAGCAGGAGAUGCUGCUGAGGCAGGAGUGACGGGCCUCAUUGGAUGUGAGGCAUGAGCCAGAUGAGUUGAGGGUGUGUCUGAGCUCUACAAUGUUGAUGACUGUGUGGGUGGUGAGGGUCUGAGGUGAGCACCAGGCUGAGGACUGGAGUUCUGAGGUUGGUGCGGGGGACAGUGGCUCUCCAUGAGGUUGGUGCAGGGGACGGUGGCUUUCCAUGCCUCAGCCUGCUGAGGGGCUCACCACCCUGCUCCCUGGCUUUAAAAUCUGGAGAGCAAAGUUUUUAUGGCUGGGCGAGUAAAAAAGCUGUUUUCAUUCAUUUUGUACCCUAUAAUUUGUUCAUCUGGGGGGCUGGAAAAUGCUUAGUAAUUUCUGGUGAAGCUGCCUUCCCAUCUCCGUGUUGGCUCUUGGAGGGAAGCCGAGGCGGGAAUCCACCAUGAUUUAGCACUGGCUUGGGUCUGGCAGUCCACCCACAUGAUCUUACUUAAUCCUCAGAACAACCUUGUGAGCAAAACAUUAUUACCCCUGUUUUAUGAUGAGGAGAUUGAGGGUCAGAGAAUCCUCUAGGGCCUAUUAGGACCCCUAGUCUAGUAGGCAGUACUCUGAUCUGGCCCAUGGGCUAAUGCCCUUCAAAGGACUGUUUUGGGGUAGUGAGAAGUGCUCAAAUCCCACCUGUGCCAGGAACAAGUAUGCCUUCUAAAGCGCUCACCAUAUCUCUGAGCCAUGAUUUCCUCAGCUGUUGUAAAAUGAGACAAUCCCUUUCUGGGGAGACUGCUGUGAGAAUUACCUAGAAGAGAGGCAAGUGCCCCACAGGGCUGCCACGAGGGAGAGAACCCACACAUUUUCUCUUUCCCUCUCUUCCCUCUGCCUCUUUUAGAGACAGUGGUAACCUGGAGACCUGAGCUCUUUGGUUUAUGUGGCUGGGUGGGAGGGCAGGUGUGGCUUUGCUACCCCAGGAUGGACAGG